CAGCAGCCGCGGUAAUACGAAGGGACCUAGCGUAGUUCGGAAUUACUGGGCUUAAAGAGCUCGUAGGUGGUUAGAAACGUUGGUGGUGAAAUCCCAAGGCUUAACCUUGGAACUGCCACUAAGACUUUUUGACUAGAGUAUGAUAGAGGAAAGUGGAAUUUCUAGUGUAGAGGUGAAAUUCGUAGAUAUUAGAAAGAACACCAAUUGCGAAGGCAACUUUCUGGAUCAUUACUGACACUAAGGAGCGAAAGCAUGGGUAGCGAAGAGGAUUAGAUACCCUCGUAGUCCAUGCCGUAAACGAUGUGUGCUAGACGUUGGAAAUUUAGUUUUCAGUGUCGCAGCGAAAGCGUUAAGCACACCGCCUGGGGAGUACGACCGCAAGGUUAAAACUCAAAUGAAUUGACGGGGACCCGCACAAGUAGUGGAGCAUGUGGUUUAAUUCGAAGAUACGCGCAGAACCUUACCAACACUUGACAUGUUCGUCGCGACUCUAAGAGAUUAGAGUCUUCGGUUCGGCCGGACGAAACACAGGUGCUGCAUGGCUGUCGUCAGCUCGUGUCGUGAGAUGUUGGGUUAAGUCCCGCAACGAGCGCAACCCUUACUUUUAGUUGCUACCAUUAAGUUGGGCACUCUAAAAGAACUGCCGGUGAUAAGCUGGAGGAAGGUGGGGAUGACGUCAAGUCCUCAUGGCCCUUAUGUGUUGGGCUACACACGUGCUACAAUGGUACUUACAGUGAGAAGCGAAGAGGCGACUCUAAGCUAAUCCCUAAAAAGUGCCUCAGUUCGGAUUGUACUCUGCAACUCGAGUACAUGAAGCUGGAAUUACUAGUAAUCGCGGAUCAGCGCGCCGCGGUGAAUACGUUCCCGGGUCUUGCACACACCGCCCG
rnacentral:rRNA from 1 species